rnacentral:rRNA from 1 species
UACGUAGGUGGCAAGCGUCAUCCGGAAUUAUUGGGCGUAAAGCGCGCGCAGGCGGUUUCUUAAGUCUGAUGUGAAAGCCCACGGCUCAACCGUGGAGGGUCAUUGGAAACUGGGGAACUUGAGUGCAGAAGAGAAAAGCGGAAUUCCACGUGUAGCGGUGAAAUGCGUAGAGAUGUGGAGGAACACCAGUGGCGAAGGCGGCUUUUUGGUCUGUAACUGACGCUGAGGCGCGAAAGCGUGGGGAGCAAACAGG